GAUAAACGCUAGCGGUGUGCAUUAUGCAUGCAAGUCGAACGGUCUAUCGCAAGAUAGAUAGUGGCAGACGGCUGAGUAACGCGUAAGUAACCUGUCCUUAAGUGGGGAAUAAUCUACCGAAAGGUGGACUAAUACCGCAUGUGGUAAUGGAAUUGGUUUUUCAUUACUAAAGCCUUCGGGCGCUUUAGGAGGGGCUUGCGUCCUAUCAGGUAGUUGGUGGGGUAAUGGCUUACCAAGCCUACGACGGGUAGCUGGUCUGAGAGGAUGUCCAGCCAGACGGGGACUGAGACACGGCCCCGACUCCUACGGGUGGCAG
rnacentral:rRNA from 1 species